GCAAUCAUAGCCAUCUCCCUUAACAAAACCCUAAUUUCAACACUCUAACCCUCUUCUUCAUCUUCCACCAAUUCGGCAGUAAUAAUAGUUUUAUUUACGGUAAAGCCAGCGAUAGAUUGUUGCUUCAGAGUUGAGAUUAUAUUUCGAAUACUUGAUUUCGUGCCGUACACACACAAGCGAAGUGUGGAGUGAAGCGUAGUGUAAGUAAUGAAUGCCAGCGAACCUUGAAUUUCCACCUCUGUUACAAGAAGAAGAAGAGCAGGCAGUACCAAUUCAACCAACAGCAGUCAGUCACCGAACGAGAAAGAUCUGUCUGUAAAAAGAGCAGAAAUCCCAAUCCCAAGGAAGGAAGGGAAGAAGAAGAAAGAGAGUAAAAAGGCGCUUUCACGAUCUGUGACUGACUGACCCUCAGUAAUGAUAAUGCUUGCUUGCUUAUGUUCAAAUUAAUCUAUCAGCGUGGGAGUGGGAAGGGAAGGGAAGGUUCAAAAUAUAUAAAGUAGCCAAUAUAAAUAAAAAACGGAUUUGUAAACAUGAAAGCUACUGUUACCAUAUCAGUAUUAUUAUUUCAUUUUACAUUAUCUAUUACUAAUAUAUUAAAAUCGAUUUUUCUUACUUCAUGUAUGAAUAUGAUGAUUUAAAUUCCUUGUCAGUUUAUAAUAAUGGAUUGUGUGAAUAUUUUCAGUGAUGGUAUACGCCUUCUUAUGGGUUUGUUAGUAAGGGCAUAGAUAUGAAAUUUGUUGAUGAUGAGGCAUAGAAUAUGGGCGGUGUAGCUAUGAGAUGAUGAUGUGUUGGUUGGUUAGGCUUAAUAUGGGUGUAGCUAUAUGAAGUUUAUACUAUGUUUUAUGGUUUAUCUAGACUCUCAAGUUCUUCUGAGUAGUCAAGAUGCAAGUAGCAAUUGUACUUUUCAAUGUUUAGAAUUAGCUUCAAGAGCAGAUGCAAAGAGCUAUAAGUAAUAUUGGGAAUGGAAGUCAGAAAGGGAUGAAGAAAAGUUGAAAGACAGAACCAGAUUGAGUAUAUGAGUGGUUUGUAUGAUCCUUCAUUUUUCUGGAAUGAUCAAGCCUCCAAAAUUUCAAUUCUAUGAUUCAAAGACACCUUUCUUCACUUCCCCGAGAUUCUUACCACCCACCAGAGUAGAAAAAUGCAAGGUAUUCCCCGAGAUUCUUACCACCCACCAAAGUAGAAAAAUGCAAGGUAUUGAAUCUUUUUCAUCUUCUAUUUGGUAUACGCCUUCUUAUGGAUUUUGCUAUCUAGGAUACCAUGAUGAUGGGUGCUGAUUAGUGAUUACUAUCAAACUGAGACUGAAAUUGCAUCUCUGCUGGCAGAAGCAAAUGUCCUAGUUGGUGUUGGAUUAGUGCUGCUUUGUUUCAAUAGGAGCUAGCUGGGUGUCGAUUGUUGAAUUCAUUAGUGAAGCUGUCUGUGUAUUGUUGUGCUUCUGCUAUGCUGGUUCUGUUUUGUGUUAUAGAGGUCCAGCUUCAUGAUUUAUAUUUUGUUAGAGUAGGUGGUUGCAUUAUGGUUGUAUUGAUUUAGUACAGGGGCUGUACCAGUAUUUUUGUUCCAUUGUUGAAAGGGAGGAGUGUAUUGUAUCAUACCGUUGUUUUGUGAACCAGCACUUUUUGUGCUUAGUUCACUUAUUAAUCUAUUUUUGCUUUUCCAAAAAAAAAAAUCAUCCUAAAUCCAACUAUCCAAGUGACUAUUUUUUGUUUUGUUAUAAAUCAUUAAAUGUAAUGAUGAUGAAGUUAAUUUAGUAGGAGAUUUGGGAGCAUAAUUCAGUACUUCUAACACUGUUUCAGAGGUAGUUUUUGGCUUCAUUUCCUUUUUAUAAUAUUUGUUUGGUUUGUAUUUCAAAUCUGAACCAGCUUGUUUGAUACAAAAACUGGAUUUCUUAUAGUGAAUUGGUUUUGAACUGAUUUUGAUUUGAACCAGUCUCAAAUUUGGUUUUUGUUUUGCCACCGUAAACAUCAAAAUGAGACAUUAAUAUCAGAUCUGGAAUUCUCUUAUCAUCCUCUUCCUACGUAUCCGAAUGAAAUCACAAAUCGAUUGCGAUGCUUUAAAUGCGACGGCGUCUGGUGGUCACGGUAGCAAAUGGGUCUCGGAGAAGAACCUUAGUGGUGAAAGUUUACCGGUGAAGUUAUUAAGGUCAUAUUUUUCUGUUGUUUCUUUCUUUCUCUCCUCUUUUAUGUUGUUUCUGAUUAUUUCGUUCUUUUUUCAAAUUGCAAUAACUGGAACCCAAAUUAAAAGCUUCACUUUCAGGUAUCAACAUAAGGAUAUCAUAUUUUUUGUAUUUUCUGUCUACAAAAAUUAUUCUGAUACUUGGAUCUGUCAUGAAUGUUGAAAUUUAUAUUUGUGCAUCCUUAGUUUUCAUCUAUCUAUACGAACUGUUGAAAAUUGUUAGAAUAUGAUCAAUGAUUUGUCUCUGUUUGAUAUGAUGUAUUAUUCUUAUACUUGGAUCUGUCAUGAAUCUUUGAUAUCUAAAGUUAGAAAGAGAUAUAUUGAGUUACUUGUUAAGAUAAUCUAGAGUAGAUGUAUAAUUUGUCUCUGUUUGAUAUGAUUUUAAAUAACUGAAAAGUUAUAUGGGUGAAAAGAGAAAAGUGGAGAUAAAAUGUUAGAGAUGCCAUACUAAUACUUUCAGCUCUUCCUGGUUCAAGAAUAGAUUCAAGUGAUUUUUAGAAGAUGCUAACAGAACUAUGAGAUGUGCAAAGGCUACUUCAACAAAGCUUUGAUUCAGAUGAGGAAGAGAAACAAGUUUAAAUGAGACACUUGCAUUUUAUCAUAGAAAACAAGGCUGGACUGGGAGCGUGCAUAAGGGUCGAUAAAGGACAGUUUGUAGCAGCUAUGACAGCAAGCAUCAACGCAAAGUUUUCGGCAGCGGAAGCAGAAGCAUGAUGUUUGCAGCAAAGUCUUCAAUGGAUAUCAACACUUGGCUACACUAAGGUGUUGUUUGAAAUGGAUUGCAAGAUGGUUGUUGAUGAUGUGCACAAUAAUCCUAAUAACUCUAUGGUUUACUCAUCAAUAAGUGUACAUGCAGGGUUGAAAGAUGAUUUAUAAACAAUGACCAAGUUGGUUUUUGAAAAAAUUUAGAGAAUUUUAUAGAAAUUCAACAAGUUGUUAGUUUUGGUUUCUUCUAUUGGAUUUAAUUAUGAGACAUUUCUGUCAAAUUCUUAAGGUAUAGCUAAAAACAUAAUAGAAACUUUCUAACUAUUUUGAUGAUUUGCCAAUCAGUUAGCUGAAUAAAGAAACAUCGACAUAGGGAAAUUGGAUUGAAGAAUAACCUCUAAGUUUUGCUCUUGGAUUGUUCUAAAUUUUUGUAUCAUGUUUCAGUCUCUCUGUCUGCAAAUGAUAUACAGAGGAUCACAUUAAAUCUGUUUGUUUAAAAUUUUCAGGUCUGGAAGAAUUAUGUAUGUGAGGUAUCUGAAUCGGGUAUUUGCACUACAGUUGGAAGGGUGACCCCAGAAAUUUACGCGCAAUUCGCAGCCGCAGCUAAGGAAAGCUAUGCAUUGGAACAUUAUGCUCCACUCUUACUUAGCCUUCAGAAUUGCAAUUUUGUCAGGGAUGCAUUCACUGGAAUAACUUCAAGUCACUGUCCUCCAUUAAAGCAUUAGUGAAGUGUCUGUGAAGCUAUCCUUAAAAGAAAAAAUAAAGAGCAGAUUUAACAAGAACCAGAAUAGCACAAAUUUAGUAUUGCCAAAUGCAAUUAGUGAAGUAUAGAUUGUAAAAUAGAAUAUUUGUUGAUAAAGAAGCAAGCUACUAUUGUUUUUACUGUACUCUAUAUACUAAAGGAAUAAGCAAAGGUGGAGCGAAGCUGCCGCCUGAGUUAGAAGUUAAUAGAAAACCUAGUGUACUACUUAGUUUGUUCAUAUA